GAAAGAGAGAGAGGGCUUUAGAGAGAGAAAGUAGAGAGGGAUGAUGGAAGCUUCGAGCCGGAGAUCUCUGCAAAUCCUGUUGUUGUUCUCUUCGAUUUCUCUGCAAUUCUUUUCAGGCCUUUCUGAUGACUCAUCAAGUUCCAAAAAGAAGGUUGACUCUCAUGCCACUUCACAUAGCAGCACAGGCACUAAGGUAGUCAUCAUAUGCCUUGCUCUUGUGGCAGUUGGGCUGUUUUCCUUUUUCCUUUUCAAGUUAUAUCAAAAGAAGAAAAGAGAAGAGCAGUAUGCCCGCCUUUUAAAGUUGUUUGAAGAGGAUGAUGAGCUUGAGCUUGAACUUGGUCUUCGGGACUGAACACAUGUUAAGUUGAAGAUUGAUUUGAGUGUGGUUGAGGUGCGCCUUCCAACUGCUUCACAGUCAUUCAUUGUCUCAAAAACUAGUUCCACGGGUUGCGAGGCUUGGGAUGUGGAAAUGUGCUGACAUGAGGUUUGCUAUGAUUCAAGGACAAGCUGUAUUUGUAAUGAUAUGUUGAAACCAAAAACAAAAAGACAAAAUCCCACGAACAUGAAUUCUUUGUCUAUGUUACAGAUAGAAAACAAUAAGAUUUUGUAUGACAUAUGCUUGUAAAAAUGACAUUCAUUUUGAUUCACAUGUUCCAUUGAAGUA